rnacentral:rRNA from 1 species
AACGAACGCUGGCGGCGUGUCUUAAGCAUGCAAGUCGAGCGGCAAGGGGCAGCAAUGCCCCCUAGAGCGGCGGACUGGUGAGUAACGCGUGGGUGAUCUGCCCUUGGGAUGGGGAUAGCCACUAGAAAUAGUGGGUAAUACCGAAUACGUUCGGCAGGGUAAGCCUGCCGAGGAAAAGCGCUUCGGCGCUGCCCGAGGAUGAGCCCGCGCCCCAUUAGCUAGUUGGUGAGGUAACGGCCCACCAAGGCUAUGAUGGGUAGGCGGCCUGAGAGGGUGUACGCCCACACUGGGACUGAGAUACGGCCCAGACUCCUACGGGAGGCAGCAGCUAAGAAUAUUCCGCAAUGGACGAAAGUCUGACGGAGCGACGCCGCGUGGAUGACGAAGGCCGAAAGGUUGUAAAGUCCUUUUGCUGGGGAAGAAUAACCAUGGGAGGAAUGCCCUCAUGAUGACAAGGACUAGCGAAUAACGCCCCGGCCAACUACGUGCCAGCAGCCGCGGAAA